CAGACCCCCCUCCCAGAUCCUCCCACCUCCUGGACAGCUCACUAAGAAUGCAGCUUCACAAUGGAUGCUGUCCAGGAGGUGGGAGGGUCUGGGAGGGAGGGUCUG
rnacentral:miRNA from 1 species